UACAUAGGGUGCAAGCGUUUGUCCGGAAUUAUUGGGCGUAAAGAGCUCGUAGGUGGUUUGUUACGUCGGUUGUGAAAUUCAGGGGCUCAACCCCUGACUUGCAGCCGAUACGGGCAAGCUAGAGUUUGGUAGGGGAGACUGGAAUUCCUGGUGUAGCGGUGGAAUGCGCAGAUAUCAGGAGGAACACCAAUGGCGAAGGCAGGUCUCUGGCCAAUACUGACACUGAGGAGCGAAAGUCUGGGGAGCGAACAGG
rnacentral:rRNA from 1 species